rnacentral:misc_RNA from 1 species
GAUGAAGAACGUAGCGAAAUGCUAUACGUAAUGUGAAUUGCAAAUUCAGUGAAUCAUCGAGUCUUUGAACGCACAUUGCGCCCCCUGGUAUUCCGGGGGGCAUGCCUGUCCGAGCGUCAUUGCUGCCCUCAAGCACGGCUUGUGUGUUGGGCCCCGUCCUCCGAUCCCGGGGGACGGGCCCGAAAGGCAGCGGCGGCACCGCGUCCGGUCCUCGAGCGUAUGGGGCUUUGUCACCCGCUCUGUAGGCCCGGCCGGCGCUUGCCGAUCAACCCAAAUUUUUAUCCAGGUUGACCUCGGAUCAGGUAGGGAUACCCGCUGAACUUAAGCAUAUCAAUAAGCGGAGGA